rnacentral:rRNA from 1 species
UAUAGGUCAAGCUACAAAGGGCGCAUGGUGAAUGCCUUGGCAUCAGGAGCCGAUGAAGGACGUGAUAAGCUGCGAUAAGCUUCGGGUAGGCGCACAUAGCCUGAGAUCCGAAGAUCUCCGAAUGAGGAAACUC